rnacentral:rRNA from 1 species
GACGAACGCUGGCGGUGUGCUUAACACAUGCAAGUCGAACGGUAAGGCCCUUUCGGGGGUACACGAGUGGCGAACGGGUGAGUAACACGUGAGUAACCUGCCCUCAUCUCUGGGAUAACAGUCGGAAACGGUUGCUAAUACUGGAUAUGAGCUUGCAAGGCAUCUUGUGGGUUGGAAAGAUUUUUUUGGUUGGGGAUGGACUCGCGGCCUAUCAGCUUGUUGGUGAGGUAGUGGCUCACCAAGGCUUCGACGGGUAGCCGGCCUGAGAGGGCGACCGGCCACAUCGGGACUGAGAUACGGCCCAAACUCCUACGGGAGGCAGCAGUGGGGAAUAUUGCACAAUGGACGGAAGUCUGAUGCAGCAACGCCGCGUGCGGGAUGACGGCCUUCGGGUUGUAAACCGCUUUCAAUUGUGACGAAGCUUUUUGUGACGGUAGCAGUAGAAGAAGCACCGGCUAACUACGUG